GAUGAACGCUGGCGGCGUGCCUAAUACAUGCAAGUCGAGCGGACAGACGAGGAGCUUGCUCCUCUGACGUUAGCGGCGGACGGGUGAGUAACACGUGGAUACCCUCCCUAUAAGUCUGGGAUCACUUCGGGAAACCGGCGCUAAUCCCGGAUAAUAUCUUGAACCGCAUGGUUCAAUAGUGAAAGUCGGUUUUUCUGUCACUUAUUGAUGGUUCCGGGCCGGAUUAGCUAGUUGGUAAGGUAACGGCUUUCCAAGGCAACCAGGCGUAGCCGACGUGAGAGAGUGGUCGGCCGCACUGGAACGGAAACGCGGUCCAGACUCCUACGGGAGGGCGCAGUAGGGAAUCGGCCGCAAUGGGCGAAAGCCUGACGGAGCAACGCCGCGUGAGUGAUGAAGGUCUUCGGAGCGGAAAACUGUGUUAUGAGGGAAGAACAAAUUUGUAAGUAACUAUGCACGUCUUGACGGUACCUGAUCAGAAAGCCACGGCUAACUACGUG
rnacentral:rRNA from 1 species